GACGAACGCUGGCGGCGUGCUUAACACAUGCAAGUCGAACGAGAAAGGCUCUUCGGAGCUGAGUACAGUGGCGAACGGGUGAGUAACACGUGGGCAACCUGCCCCAUGGAGCGGGACAACCCGGGGAAACCCGGGCUAAUACCGCAUGAUUCGUACGGUCAUAAGUCCGUACGGGAAAUGGUAGCUUCGGCCUCCGCCAUGGGAUGGGCCCGCGGCGCAUUAGCUUGUUGGUGAGGUAACGGCUCACCAAGGCGACGAUGCGUAGCUGGUCUGAGAGGACGAUCAGCCACACUGGGACUGAGACACGGCCCAGACUCCUACGGGAGGCAGCAGUGGGGAAUCUUGCGCAAUGGGCGGAAGCCUGACGCAGCAACGCCGCGUGUGGGAAGACGGCCUUCGGGUUGUAAACCACUUUCAGGGGGGACGAAGCUUCCGAGGUUAAUAGCCUACGGGGUGACGGUACCCCCAGAAGAAGCCCCGGCUAACUACGUGCCAGCCGCCGCGGUAAUAC
rnacentral:rRNA from 1 species